AACGAACGCUGGCGGCAGGCCUAACACAUGCAAGUCGAGCGCCCCGCAAGUGGGACGGCGCACGGGUGAGUGACGCGUGGGGACGUACCUAGUGGUUCGGAACAACUCCGGGAAACUGGGGCGAAAACCGGGGAAGACCUAACGUGGAAAGAUAUAUCGCCGAAAGAUCGGCGCACGUGUUAUUAGCUAGUUGGUGAGGUAACGGCUCACCAAGGCGACGAUCAGUAGCUGGGCUGAGAGGAUGAGCAGCCACACUGGGACUGAGACACGGCCCAGACUCCUACGGGAGGCAGCAGUGGGUAAUAUUGGACAAUGGGCGCAAGCCUGAUCCAGCCAUGCCGCGUGAGCGAUGAAGGCCUUAGGGUUGUAAAGCUCUUUUGUCCGGGAAGAUAAUGACUGUACCGGAAGAAUAAGCCCCGGCUAACUUCGUG
rnacentral:rRNA from 1 species